rnacentral:tRNA from 1 species
GGGCAAGUGGCGGAACUGGUAGACGCACCACACUCAAAAUGUGGCGGCCCUACGGCCGUGAGAGUUCGAAUCUCUCCUUGCCCA